GACGAACGCUGGCGGCGUGCCUAAUACAUGCAAGUAGAACGCUGAAGAGAGGAGCUUGCUCUUCUUGGAUGAGUUGCGAACGGGUGAGUAACGCGUAGGUAACCUGCCUUGUAGCGGGGGAUAACUAUUGGAAACGAUAGCUAAUACCGCAUAACAAUGGAUGACACAUGUCAUUUAUUUGAAAGGGGCAAUUGCUCCACUACAAGAUGGACCUGCGUUGUAUUAGCUAGUAGGUGAGGUAAUGGCUCACCUAGGCGACGAUACAUAGCCGACCUGAGAGGGUGAUCGGCCACACUGGGACUGAGACACGGCCCAGACUCCUACGGGAGGCAGCAGUAGGGAAUCUUCGGCAAUGGGGGCAACCCUGACCGAGCAACGCCGCGUGAGUGAAGAAGGUUUUCGGAUCGUAAAGCUCUGUUGUAAGUCAAGAACGGGUGUGAGAGUGGAAAGUUCACACUGUGACGGUAGCUUACCAGAAAGGGACGGCUAACUACGUGCCAGCAGCCGCGGUAAUACGUAGGUCCCGAGCGUUGUCCGGAUUUAUUGGGCGUAAAGCGAGCGCAGGCGGUUUGAUAAGUCUGAAGUUAAAGGCUGUGGCUCAACCAUAGUUCGCUUUGGAAACUGUCAAACUUGAGUGCAGAAGGGGAGAGUGGAAUUCCAUGUGUAGCGGUGAAAUGCGUAGAUAUAUGGAGGAACACCGGGUGGCGAAAGCGGCUCUCUGGUCUGUAACUGACGCUGAGGCUCGAAAGCGUGGGGAGCGAACAGGAUUAGAUACCCUGGUAGUCCACGCCGUAAACGAUGAGUGCUAGGUGUUGGAUCCUUUCCGGGAUUCAGUGCCGCAGCUAACGCAUUAAGCACUCCGCCUGGGGAGUACGACCGCAAGGUUGAAACUCAAAGGAAUUGACGGGGGCCCGCACAAGCGGUGGAGCAUGUGGUUUAAUUCGAAGCAACGCGAAGAACCUUACCAGGUCUUGACAUCCCGAUGCUAUUUCUAGAGAUAGAAAGUUACUUCGGUACAUCGGUGACAGGUGGUGCAUGGUUGUCGUCAGCUCGUGUCGUGAGAUGUUGGGUUAAGUCCCGCAACGAGCGCAACCCUUAUUGUUAGUUGCCAUCAUUCAGUUGGGCACUCUAGCGAGACUGCCGGUAAUAAACCGGAGGAAGGUGGGGAUGACGUCAAAUCAUCAUGUCCCUUAUGACCUGGGCUACACACGUGCUACAAUGGUUGGUACAACGAGUUGCGAGUCGGUGACGGCGAGCUAAUCUCUUAAAGCCAAUCUCAGUUCGGAUUGUAGGCUGCAACUCGCCUACAUGAAGUCGGAAUCGCUAGUAAUCGCGGAUCAGCACGCCGCGGUGAAUACGUUCCCGGGCCUUGUACACACCGCCCGUCACACCACGAGAGUUUGUAACACCCGAAGUCGGUGAGGUAACCUUUUGGAGCCAGCCGCCUAAGGUGGGACAGAUGAUUGGGGUG
rnacentral:rRNA from 1 species